rnacentral:misc_RNA from 1 species
GAUGAAGAACGUAGCGAAAUGCGAUAAGUAGUGUGAAUUGCAGAAUUCAGUGAAUCAUCGAAUCUUUGAACGCACAUUGCGCCCCUCGGUAUUCCGUGGGGCAUGCCUGUUCGAGCGUCAUUUAACCCCUCAAGCCUAGCUUGGUAUUGGGUGCUUGUCCCGCCUCUCGCGCGGCGACUCACCUCAAGGUCAUUGGCAGCCCGCAUCUCGCCGGCCGUGAGCGCAGCACAGACGCGCUCUUGGCAACGACGGAUCGGCUCUCCAAAAGCUUAUUUCAACCACUGACCUCGGAUCAGGUAGGGAUACCCGCUGAACUUAAGCAUAUCAAUAAGCGGAGGA